rnacentral:tRNA from 1 species
GGUUGCUUAGUUUAAGGUAAAACUGGUGUUUUGAAAACACCUAAUAAGGAGAUUGUUCUUAACAACCG